AUUGAACGCUGGCGGCAGGCCUAACACAUGCAAGUCGGGCGAGCGGCGGACGGGUGAGUAAUGUAUGGGGAUCUGCCUGAUGGAGGGGGAUAACUACUGGAAACGGUAGCUAAUACCGCAUACCCUCAGAUGAACCCAUAUGGGAUUAGCUUGUAGGGGGGGUAACGGCUCACCUAGGCGACGAUCGCUCGCUGGUCUGAGAGGAUGAUCGCCAACACUGGAACUGAGACACGGCCCAGACUCUACGGGGGGGCAGAGGUGGGAAAUAUUGGACAUUGGGGGCAAGCCUGAUGAAGCCAGGCCGCGUGUAUGAAGAGGGCCUUCGGGUUGUAAGGUACUUUAAGUCGGGAGACGGUACCGACAGAGAAAGCAACGGCUAACUACGUGCCAGCAGCCGCGGUAAUAC
rnacentral:rRNA from 1 species